rnacentral:rRNA from 1 species
CUGCUUCGGGGUCCGACUAANCCAUGCGAGUCAAGGGGGUGUCCCUCUGGGACACCACCGGCGGACGGCUCAGUAACACGUCGGUAACCUACCCUCGGGAGGGGGAUAACCCCGGGAAACUGGGGCUAAUCCCCCAUAGGCCUGAGGUACUGGAAGGUCCUCAGGCCGAAAGGGGCUUUUGCCCGCCCGAGGAUGGGCCGGCGGCCGAUUAGGUAGUUGGUGGGGUAACGGCCCACCAGGCCGAAGAUCGGUACGGGCUGUGAGAGCAGGAGCCCGGAGAUGGACACUGAGACACGGGUCCAGGCCCUACGGGGCGCAGCAGGCGCGAAACCUCCGCAAUGCGGGAAACCGCGACGGGGGGACCCCGAGUGCCGUGGCACCGCCACGGCUUUUCCGGAGUGUAAAAAGCUCCGGGAAUAAGGGCUGGGCAAGGCCGGUGGCAGCCGCCGCGGUAAUACCGGCGGCCCGAGUGGUGGCCGCUAUUAUUGGGCCUAAAGCGUCCGUAGCCGGGCCCGUAAGUCCCUGGCGAAAUCCCACGGCUCAACCGUGGGGCUUGCUGGGGAUACUGCGGGCCUUGGGACCGGGAGAGGCGGGGGGUACCCCUGGGGUAGGGGUGAAAUCCUAUAAUCCCAGGGGGACCGCCAGUGGCGAANGCGCCCCGCUGGAACGGGUCCGACGGUGAGGGACGAAGGCCAGGGGAGCAAACCNGAUUAGAUACCCCGGGUAGUCCUGGCUGUAAAGGAUGCNGGCUAGGUGUCNGGUGAGCUUCGAGCUCGCCCCGUGCCGUANGGAAGCCGUUUAACCCCGCCGCCUGGGAGUCCGG